rnacentral:lncRNA from 1 species
UUAGACGCCUUCAACCCACUGUUAACGUUUCACCCUCAGAAUCACUGUACGUUUCGAGAUAAAAAUGGUUAAGUACAUGCUACCCGUGGAUAAUAAAAUAAUUUUAAUUAUUUUUGUACUAAUCCAAUGGAUCCCAAAUUUUUACUGUAACCCAUUGACGACAUGAGUGCGGUACUUCUAAUUUCUUGGUGUCAUAUGUUACUGUUUGAUUAUGGAAACAAAUUUUGGAUGAGGAAUCGGUUUAAAUGAAUAAAGAAAAUGUUAAGUCCUAGUAAGCUUAAUUGGUAAUUUUUGGAAGAGGUACAUAAAAACAUUCAGAAAUAAAUGAUCUUCCAAAUGAACCCCGAACAAUCCUAAAACUGACCCCCACCUUUCUUGUCAAGCUCUAAGUUGUAAGAACCUUAAAUAUGUACACAAUCACCAUCAAAGUCAGCCCCGAGAUUUAAACCACAACACGCGUUACUUCAUGAAGAUAAUGAAAGUUUAGAACCUUGUUUAGGUGAACUUUAACAACAAGUCAUGUCUUGCAUCCUUCAUACGAAAGUAUGGAAAUUUGAACUUUCUGCAUAUGCAUGUCGUGUAGAAGCUAAUAUCGCCGAUGGAACCUACGAGCUCCACCCUACGCCAGAAGAGGAACCUGCUACAGAGCUACAUCACAUGGAAGCUGAGCCUAAGCAAGAUCAAGACCCUAAAGACCAAUU